UCGAACGAGCUUCCGUUGAAUGACGUGCUUGCACUGAUUUYAACAAUGAAGCGAGUGGCGAACUGGUGAGUAACACGUGGGAAAUCUGCCCAGAAGCAGGGGAUAACACUUGGAAACAGGUGCUAAUACCGUAUAACAACAAAAUCCGCAUGGAUUUUGUUUGAAAGGUGGCUUCGGCUAUCACUUCUGGAUGAUCCCGCGGCGUAUUAGUUAGUUGGUGAGGUAAAGGCCCACCAAGACGAUGAUACGUAGCCGACCUGAGAGGGUAAUCGGCCACAUUGGGACUGAGACACGGCCCAAACUCCUACGGGAGGCAGCAGUAGGGAAUCUUCCACAAUGGACGAAAGUCUGAUGGAGCAAUGCCGCGUGAGUGAAGAAGGGUUUCGGCUCGUAAAACUCUGUUGUUAAAGAAGAACACCUUUGAGAGUAACUGUUCAAGGGUUGACGGUAUUUAACCAGAAAGCCACGGCUAACUACGUGCCAGCMGCCGCGGUAAU
rnacentral:rRNA from 2 species